UUACUUUUCCUUAGUGACUUACAAUGACAUUUCAUGCAAAAUAACUUGUCUUUGACGUCAUCCCUUUGCAUAAACUCACAUGGAGUACGGUUUUAACCCUAUUUUUCAACAGAUAUGAAUCCCUGUUGGUUAGUAAAAACAAAUCAUACCUUUGACACUUCUUCCGAGUGACCCACCAUAACAGAUAACAAUUCCAAGUCCCCGGCAACAUUCCAAACUCUUGCCGUGCAAUCAUUACUAGCUGUGGCCAAACGACGGCCGCUACAAUCAAAAGCCACAUCCAAAAUCUCAUCUGUAUGUUCUUUAAUAGAAAACAAAGGCUCCCCAGUUUUCCUUACAUCCCAUAUACAAGCUGUGCUAUCCAAAGAUCCAGUGGCAAUCAGAUCACAGGAAAAAUUCCACACAGCAUUACUAAGUUCAGCCGAAUGUCCACGUAGUUGGGCUAUCAAUCUGCUAGCCGUUCUAUCGAAUGAUCCCGUCAGCAACAUAUUACCAUCUCUACUGAAACGACAAUUGAUAACUUCAGCACCGUGGUGAGCUAAUGUCUGCAACUCCUGUGUCGAUUCUAUGUGAAAGAGGCG